GAUGAACGCUGGCGGCGUGCCUAAUACAUGCAAGUCGAGCGAACAGAUAAGGAGCUUGCUCCUUUGAAGUUAGCGGCGGACGGGUGAGUAACACGUGGGUAACCUACCUAUAAAACUGGGAUAACUUCGGGAAACCGGAGCUAAUACCGGAUAACAUUUAGAACCGCAUGGUUCUAAAGUGAAAGAUGGUUUUGCUAUCACUUAUAGAUGGACCCGCGCCGUAUUAGCUAGUUGGUAAGGUAACGGCUUACCAAGGCGAUGAUACGUAGCCGACCUGAGAGGGUGAUCGGCCACACUGGAACUGAGACACGGUCCAGACUCCUACGGGAGGCAGCAGUAGGGAAUCUUCCGCAAUGGGCGGAAGCCUGACGGAGCAACGCCGCGUGAGUGAUGAAGGGUUUCGGCUCGUAAAACUCUGUUAUUAGGGAAGAACAAAUGUGUAAGUAACUGUGCACAUCUUGACGGUACCUAAUCAGAAAGCCACGGCUAACUACGUGCCAGCAGCCGCCGUAACAC
rnacentral:rRNA from 1 species